GGGACGGUCUGAGGUCCACACUGUACAAGGCAUAUACAGGACCACUGCCAGAUCCAGAUAUGAUGGCAUCUGGAAGCAAAUUAAGCCAGGUGCAGCCCCAAUCUCUCAUGGCUGUUGUAUUGGAUGGGGUUUCUGAGAUGGAGCUGUCGCCAUCCAUUUUUGGUUCUGUCCCUCGUGGAUCCCCCAUGUCCUAUCACUGUCCACCCAAGAAGUCCAGUGACCUCCUCCUACACCACAUGGCUCCAGAAUUUCCCUCCCUUCCUGUGAUGCAGCACACUUUUCCCAGGUUCCAGCUGCUGCGCUCUGGAUCAGCUGAUGUUGGAGUCCUCACCACUGCCUGCAGUCCAUCUCUGAUCCACCCUGCUGGGCUUUCAUUUGGCACCAUCAGCUGUCAAGUCUGUGCUCCAGUGAGCUGAGGACCUGACAGGGUUUCCUUUCCUCUUUUUUUGUUAUUUUUCAGUCUGUAGAUUUCUUACUUCAUUUUAAAGUGAACUAUUUUGCUUUUUCUCAUUUUUUUGCCCAUAAAUCUUACUUUUUUUUCAUUAUA